UUGUGUGUGAUAUUCUCCAGGUUAUGUUCGUAACAACUAAAUACCUGAGUUGUUAGUGCUUGUUUUUGGCCUGACCGUUAAAAUCGCUACGUGUAUCUUCAUAAAAGAAACGGCUGAGUGUGUGACGUGCUGUGAGGAGCAGUUUGUCUAUGAAGGAAUCUCCUCAUAUACUUCGUGGCUAACGAGAAAAGGCGGACAGUGAAAUUCAAAGACUGUAGAACUGAAGCGAUGGACCAGGAGCCAACUAAGUGGAUAAAAAAAGAUGAAAC